UUUAGUAAAGUAAUCAGUUGCUUGGAUAAUGAACUCAUGGCUCUUUGAGGAGAUGGAUAAAUUUGACCAAUCAAGUCCAUUGCUUAUCCUCUAAAUGGCCAAGAUUUUAUCACAAAUUGCAUCGCUAUUGUAGAAAUUCUUUGUGACGUGCUUGAUAGCCCUUAGCGUACCAAAUCCAAUGUCCUACAUCUUUGGCUAGAAAUAUCCAUGUCAAAUAAUUAACCAAUACAUUAUUGGCCCUGCUUGAUUGAUGAGCCCCACAUAUUCAUUCAUGGACUUCUUCC
rnacentral:lncRNA from 1 species